CAGAGGGUGCGAGCGUUGUUCGGAAUUACUGGGCGUAAAGCGCGCGCAGGCGGCCCUUUAAGUCCGUCGGUCAAAUGCCGGGGCUCAACCCCGAGCGUGCCGAGGAUACUGGAGGGCUGGAGACACGUAGAGGCAAGCGGAAUUCCGGGUGUAGCGGUGGAAUGCGUAGAGAUCCGGAAGAACACCGGAGGCGAAGGCGGCUUGCUGGGCGUGAUCUGACGCUGAGGCGCGAAAGCGUGGGGAGCGAACAGGAUUAGAUACCCUGGUAGUCCACGCCGUAAACGAUGGGCACUAGACGCCGGCGGGAUCGACCCGUCGGUGUCGCAGCUAACGCGAUAAGUGCCCCGCUGGGGAGUACGGCCGCAAGGCUG
rnacentral:rRNA from 1 species